UAUGAGCAAGAUUAAAAUUGGGUAGAGGUUGUGAGGUUCUGGUUGUAGAAGGUGGGGUUUCAGAGGAUGUGUAUAUAGGUGGUGUUGGGAGAGGAUUAGAAGAAGCCAUAAGAUGUUCAGAGGGAAUAGAGGGAGCAGACUUACCAGUAGUUACUUGCAGAGGUGCUGGAGAUCUUGUUUCAGAAGUUUCUCCUAGCCUUGCUCUCUUUGCCUUUGAAGACUUCUUUGAAGAGGGACCUCUUUUG
rnacentral:lncRNA from 1 species